rnacentral:lncRNA from 1 species
GCACGUAGAAUUCUGCCGCCAUUCGAUUCAUCGAAUUGCCUGUCAUAUACAGUAGCGCUGCACAAAGCACAAUUUACACCUGAAGAUCUUGUGGCCACGACGCGAGUUGCUGCUGGCCUUCUGUUGCUUGCGUGAGCGCCGCAAACAUCUUUUCGGGGAAAAGGGGAAGCUAGCGAGCGAAAAAGAAACGCCGAAAAUGACACGCCAG